GGUCUCCGUUGGUGAACCAGCGGAGGGAUCAUUACCGAGUUUAAACUCCCAACCCUUCUGUGAACAUACCUAUCGUUGCUUCGGCGGAACGCCCCGGCGCCCUGAGCCCGGAACCAGGCGCCCGCCGGAGACCACAAACUCUUCUGUAUUUUCAGCACCAGUAUUUUCCUCUGAGUGGCAAACGCAAAAAAUCAAUUAAAACUUUUAACAACGGAUCUCUUGGCUCUGGCAUCGAUGAAGAACGCAGCGAAAUGCGAUAAGUAAUGUGAAUUGCAGAAUUCAGUGAAUCAUCGAAUCUUUGAACGCACAUUGCGCCCGUUAGCAUUCUAGCGGGCAUGCCUGUCCGAGCGUCAUUUCAACCCUCAGGGCUCCCUUUAGGGGGAGACCUGGCGUUGGGGGAUCGGCCCGCCCAGCGCGGCGCCGUCCCCCAAAUUCAGUGGCGGUCUCGCUGCAGCCUCCCCUGCGUAGUAGUUUACACCUCGCACCGGAGCGCGGCUAGGCCACGCCGUAAAACCCCCGACUUUCUGAACGUUGACCUCGGAUCAGGUAGGAAUACCCGCUGAACUUAAGCAU
rnacentral:rRNA from 1 species